GAAUCCCGUCUUUGACACGGACUGCCUGCAUGUUAUGGUGCGCUCUCAAAGAGUCGAGUUGUUUGGGAAUGCAGCUCAAAAUGGGUGGUAAAUGCCAUCUAAAGCUAAAUAUUGGCGAGAGACCGAUAGCGAACAAGUACCGUGAGGGAAAGAUGAAAAGAACUUUGGAAAGAGAGUUAAACAGUACGUGAAAUUGCUGAAAGGGAAACGCUUGAAGUCAGUCGCGUCGGCUAGAAAUCAACCUUGCUUUUGCUUGGUGUACUUUCUUGUUGAUGGGUCAGCAUCAAUUUUGACCGUUGGAUAAAGUCGUUGGGAAUGUGGCAUCUUAGGAUGUGUUAUAGCCCAUCGUCGCAUACAGCGGUUGGGAUUGAGGAACUCAGCACGCGCCUUUGGGCGUCGGGGCUUUGCCCACGAUACGUGCUUAGGAUGCUGGCGUAAUGGCUUUAAACGACCCGUCUUGAAACACGGACCAAGGAGUCUAACAUGCCUGCGAGUGUUCGGGUGGAAAACCCGUGCGCGCAAUGAAAGUGAAAGUUGGGACCUCUGUCGUGGAGGGCACCGACGCCCGGACCAGACCUUCUGUGACGGUUCUGCGGUAGAGCAUGUAUGUUAGGACCCGAAAGAUGGUGAACUAUGCCUGAAUAGGGUGAAGCCAGAGGAAACUCUGGUGGAGGCUCGUAGCGAUUCUGACGUGCAAAUCGAUCGUCAAAUUUGGGUAUAGGGGCGAAAGACUAAUCGAACCAUCUAGUAGCUGGUUCCUGCC
rnacentral:rRNA from 1 species